CUUUAAUCGCGCCCACGAAGUAAUGCCGCUCAACGCGUUUACAUGCACAAUAAAUAGUCACGUUUAUAGCUCGACUAUGCCAUUGAAUCGGACUACUGUUCUUGUCCCAGUAUACGUACACGGGAAGGGAAUCAAUUUAUUGAUCGAAGCAUGUCUGACUUCGCUGCAGUAGCCACCAAAAAGAGAGCUGCGGCUGCUGCAACUGGUGGGGGCCCACCGCCAACAGCCUGUACCCCAGCCGAGGUGAUGGCCCACCGCCAACAGCCUGUACCCCAGCCGAGGUGAUGGCCCACCGCCAACAGCCUGUACCCCAGCCGAGGUGAUGGCCCUUGCACAGAACCGUGCACGGCCUAUUAUUGAGGGGAUUGAGGGAGGAACAUCCUCAGAUGUUGUUCUUUCUAGUAAUGUGCAAAGUAGUGGAUGGUGUCUUGACCUUCUUGGAUCCUGAACAACAGUCUUUAGAAUCUGUUGUGAGUAUUGUAUUUAAUCAUAUACUUUAAUAUACUGCAAUAACUGUGGGUUUUGUAUUUAAUGUUCCAGUCCAAUGCCUUUAUCUGCUGCUAAUUCUGUCAUGUAUUGUGGUUUUUGUUCACUUAAGUUAAUUCUAUAAGUUAAGUCCCGCUUCUAAUGGAAAUAGCUUUACUUGU